rnacentral:Y_RNA from 1 species
GGUUGGUCCAAGUGCAGUAGUGUUUACAAUUCAUUGAUCACAAUCAGUUGCAUAUUCCUUUGUUCCUUCUCCACUCCCGCUGCUUCACUUGACCAGCCUUUA